GGACCCGUAGCUCAGCGGUAGAGCAUCUGAUUCCAGCCGAUUGAUUUUCCCACAAAAUUCAGCCAGCUAGCAUCCAGAAGGUCAUCCGUUCAAAUCGGGUCGGGUUCA